rnacentral:rRNA from 1 species
CGGGGUGCAGCAGGCGCGAAAACUCCACAAUGUACGGAAGUACGAUGGGGUUAUCUCGAGUGCAGUCCGAUAAGGGCUGCUUUUCCAUAGAGUAAUAUCCUGUGGGAAUAAGAGGGGGGCAAGACUGGUGUCAGCCGCCGCGGUAACACCAGCCCCUCGAGUGGUGGGGACUAUUAUUUGGCCUAAAGCGUCCGUAGCUGGCUGUAUCCGUCCCCCGUUAAAUCCAGCGUCCUAAGCGUUGGACCGCGGGUGAUACCAUACAGCUAGAGGGUGGGAUAGGUGAGCGGUAUUUCUGGGGUAGGGGCGAAAUCCUUUGAUCCCAGGAGGACCACCAGUGGCGAAGGCUGCUCACUAGAACACGCCUGACGGUCAGGGACGAAAGCUGGGGCAGCGAACCGGAUUAGAUACCCGGGUAGUCCCAGCUGUAAACGAUGCUGCUAGGUGUUGGGUCGGCCACGCGCCGCCCCAGUGCCGCAGGGAAGCCGUUAAGCUAGCCGCCUGGGGAGUACGGCCGCAAGGCUGAAACUUAAAGGAAUUGGCGGGGGAGCAC